rnacentral:rRNA from 1 species
ACAAUGAAGAGUUUGAUCCUGGCUCAGGAUGAACGCUAGCGGGAGGCUUAACACAUGCAAGUCGAGGGGCAGCAUUAGGUAGCAAUACUUAGAUGGCGACCGGCGCACGGGUGAGUAACAGGUAUGCAACUUACCCUGUACUGGGGAAUAACCCGGAGAAAUUCGGACUAAUACCCCAUAAUUAUAUAGAUAGGCAUCUAUUUAUAUUUAAAGUUCCGACGGUACAGGAUGGGCAUGCUCAACAUUAGCUUGUUGGCGGGGUAACGGCCCACCAAGGCUACGAUGUUUAGGGGGCCUGAGAGGGUGAUCCCCCACACUGGUACUGAGACACGGACCAGACUCCUACGGGAGGCAGCAGUGAGGAAUAUUGGUCAAUGGGCGCAAGCCUGAACCAGCCAUCCCGCGUGCAGGAAGACGGCGCUAUGCGUUGUAAACUGCUUUUC